GACAGCAUGGCAUAGUGGUUUGAGUGCUGGACUAGGACUCUGGAAACCAGGGUUCGAAUCCUGGUUCAGCCA